GACGAACGCUGGCGGCGUGCUUAACACAUGCAAGUCGAGCGGAAAGGCCACUUCGGUGGUACUCGAGCGGCGAACGGGUGAGGAACACGUGAGUAAUCUGCCCCUGGCUUUGGGAUAGCCAGGGGAAACGGCGCGUAAUACCGGAUAUGAACUCCUUACGGAUGUGAGGGUGGUGGAAGGUUUUUCGGCCAGGGACGUGCUCUAGGACUAUCAGCGUGAUGGUGAGGUAAUGGCUCACAAUGGCUUCGACGGGUGGCCGGCCUGAGAGGGUGGCCGGGCACACUGGGACUGAGACACGGCCCAGACUCCGACGGGAGGCAGCAGUGGGGAAUAUUGGACAAUGGGCGGAAGCCUGAUCCAGCAACGCCGCGUGAGGGAUGACGGCCUUCGGGAUGUAAACCUCUUUCGCCUGUGACGAAGCGCAAGUGACGGUAACAGGUAAAGAAGCACCGGCCAACUACGUGCCAGCCGCCGCAGUAAGAC
rnacentral:rRNA from 1 species